rnacentral:rRNA from 1 species
CCUACGGGGGGCAGCAGUGAGGAAUAUUGGUCAAUGGGCGGAAGCCUGACCCAGCAACGUCGCGUGCAGGAUGACGGCCCUCCGGGUUGUAAACUGCUUUUAUACGGGAAUAACGCGCCUUACGUGUAGGGCUUUGCAUGUACCGUCUGAAUAAGAACAGGCUAAUUCCGUGCCAGCAGCCGCGGUAAUACGGAGGGUCCGGGCGUUAUCCGGAUUUAUUGGGUGUAAAGGGAGCGUAGGCCGGAUGUCAAGCGUGCUGUGAAAUGUUCGGGCUCAACCCGGGCCUUGCAGCGCGAACUGGCGUGCUUGAGUGCGCGGAAGGCAGGCGGAAUUCGGCGUGUAGCGGUGAAAUGCUUAGAUAUGACGAAGAACCCCGAUGGCGAAGGCAGCUUGCUGCAGCGGAACUGACGCUGAUGCGCGAAAGCGCGGGUAGCGAACAGGAUUAGAUACCCGAGUAGUC